CAGUCGCCACGGUAAUACGAAGGGGGCUAGCGUUGCUCGGAAUUACUGGGCGUAAAGGGAGCGUAGGCAGGUCGUUUAGUCAGAGGUGAAAUCCCGGGGCUCAACCUCGGAACUGCCUUUGAUACUGGCGACCUUGAGUAUGGGAGAGGUGAGUGGAACUCCGAGUGUAGAGGUGAAAUUCGUAGAUAUUCGGAUGAACACCAGUGGCGAAAGCGACUCACUGGCCCAUUACUGACGCUGAGGCUCGAAAGCGUGGGGAGCAAACAGGAUUAGAUACCCGCGUAGUCCCUGUCUCUUAUAC
rnacentral:rRNA from 1 species